AUACGGGAGGCAGCAGUGGGGAAUCUUGCACAAUGGGGGAAACCCUGAUGCAGCGACGCCGCGUGAGCGAUGAAGCCCUUCGGGGUGUAAAGCUCUUUCGGCAGGAACGAUGAUGACGGUACCUGAAGAAGAAGCUGCGGCUAACUACGUGCCAGCAGCCGCGGUAAUACGUAGGCAGCGAGCGUUGUUCGGAGUUACUGGGCGUAAAGAGUGCGUAGGCGGUGCUCUAAGUUUGGUGUGAAAUCUCCCGGCUUAACCGGGAGGGUGCGCCGAAAACUGGAGUGCUUGAGUGCGGGAGAGGAGAGCGGAAUUCCUGGUGUAGCGGUGAAAUGCGUAGAUAUCAGGAGGAACACCUGCGGUGUAGACGGCUCUCUGGACCGCCACUGACGCUGAGGCACGAAAGCGUGGGGAGCAAACAGGAUUAGAUACCCUGGUAGU
rnacentral:rRNA from 1 species